UGACCGCUGGCGGCGUGCCUAAUACAUGCACGUCGAGCGAACGGACGAGAAGCUUGCUUCUCUGAUGUUAGCGGCGGACGGGUGAGUAACACGUGGAUAACCUACCUAUAAGACUGGGAUAACUUCGGGAAACCGGAUCUAAUACCGGAUGAUAUUUUGAACCGCAUGGUUCAAAAGUGAAAGACGGUCUUGCUGUCACUUAUAGAUGGAUCCGCGCUGCAUUAGCUAGUUGGUAAGGUAACGGCUUACCAAGGCAACGAUGCAUAGCCGACCUGAGAGGGUGAUCGGCCACACUGGAACUGAGACACGGUCCAGACUCCUACGGGAGGCAGCAGUAGGGAAUCUUCCGCAAUGGGCGAAGGCCUGACGGAGCAACGCCGCGUGAGUGAUGAAGGUCUUCGGAUCGUAAAACUCUGUUAUUAGGGAAGAACAUAUGUGUAAGUAACUGUGCACAUCUUGACGGUACCUAAUCAGAAAGCCACGGCUAACUACGUG
rnacentral:rRNA from 1 species